UGUAGGUUGGGAGUGAUUUUUACUUUAGUUGUUACUGAGCACCUCUUCUAGCUCUCAUAAUUUUGACUUGCCCUUUCUUUUAGGAACUCUGCAAGUGAAGCCAACAUGUACUUACUAGGAGUCUGGCUAAAUGACCAGGUGUGAGCAACCGAAGCUCUGCAAAUGUGGAAUGGGCCAUGAUGGAGGCCUGUUUCCAGAUACUUGACCCAGCUGUGUAUGGAAGCCUGAGAUCUUCUGAACAUGAAGCAAAAGGUCAAAGGAGAGCUGACCUCAACACAAAGACUGUGUUACCGUCAUCCACCACAGCUGAGAAGCAGAGAGCUGGCUGGAGAAGAGUGAAAAGAGAACCCAGAGGGGCAGACUGUAGAUAUAUGGCAAACAGAAACAAAUACAACCUACUACAUGGUAUUUAAGUUAUGUCUCUGUCUCAUUCUACAAUCAGUUUAUGUCCCCAUUCCAUCCCCCAGAAAGGCUCUAAAAUACACCAAGGCCCAAUAGUGAAAAAUAUUAUGGGUGGGGAUAAAUU
rnacentral:lncRNA from 1 species